rnacentral:rRNA from 1 species
UACGGGGGGGGCAAGCGUUGUUCGGAAUUACUGGGCGUAAAGGGCUCGUAGGCGGCCAACUAAGUCAGACGUGAAAUCCCUCGGCUUAACCGGGGAACUGCGUCUGAUACUGGAUGGCUUGAGGUUGGGAGAGGGAUGCGGAAUUCCAGGUGUAGCGGUGAAAUGCGUAGAUAUCUGGAGGAACACCGGUGGCGAAGGCGGCAUCCUGGACCGACACUGACGCUGAGGAGCGAAAACCAGGGGAGCAAACGGG